rnacentral:rRNA from 1 species
CCUGAACGCUGGCGGCGUGGCUAAGACAUGCAAGUCGUACGGUGUAGCAAUACACAGUGGCGAACGGGUGAGUAAUGAAUCGCUAAUGUGCCCCGGACUCUGGGAUAGCCGACCGAAAGGGCGGGUAAUACCGGAUGAGACCACGAACAGGCAUCUGUUUGUGCUCAAAGGUCCGCCGGUCUGGGAGCAGGCGAUUUCGUAUCAGCUAGUUGGUAGGGUAACGGCCACCAAGGCGACGACGCGUAGCCGGACUGAGAGGUUGACCGGCCACAUCGGGACUGAGACACUGCCCGGACUCCUACGGGGGCUGCAGUAACGAACCUUCCGCAAUGCACGAAAGUGUGACGGAGCGACGCCGCGUGUGGGACGAAGUCCUUCGG